rnacentral:miRNA from 1 species
GAUUGGAAGGCACUCUGCAACAGUG